rnacentral:rRNA from 1 species
GACGAACGCUGGCGGCAUGCCUAAUACAUGCGAGUCGAGCGAACAGAUGAAGUGCUUGCACUUCUGACGUUAGCGGCGAACGGGUGAGUAACACGUACGGAAUCUACCUAUAAGCGGGGGAUAACAUUCGGAAACGGGUGCUAAUACCGCAUAAUAUCUUCUUCCGCAUGGAAGAAGAUUGAAAGACGGCUCUGCUGUCACUUAUAGAUGACCUUGCGGUGCAUUAGUUAGUUGGUGGGGUAAUGGCCUACCAAGACAAUGAUGCAUAGCCGACCUGAGAGGGUGAUCGGCCACAUUGGGACUGAGGCACGGCCCAAACUCCUACGGGAGGCAGCAGUAGGGAAUCUUCCGCAAUGGGCGAAAGCCUGACGGAGCAUGCCGCGUGAGUGAAGAAGGCCUUCGGGUCGUAAAACUCUGUUAUAAGAGAAGAGCAAAUUGUAGAGUAACUGCUACAGUCUUGACGGUAUCUUAUCAGAAAGCCACGGCUAACUACGUGCCAGCCGCCGCAGUAA